CAGAGUAGAGGGGCAGAAUCACCUCCCUUGACCUAUUGGCCACGUUCCCAUUGAUGCAGCCCAGAAUGCAGUUGGCUUUCUGGGCUGCAAGUGCACAUUGCCAGCUCCUGUCGUUUUCUAUUGACCAAAAGACAACCAAGAAACUAAAAGAUAGAGUCAGUAACAAUUCUAUGACCCUGGGUCACAAAUUGAGCUGCUGAAGCAGAAAGAAUAUGGGGUACCUAGCAGCACUAGAACACUUUCAGAUCACUAAGCAAGGUGUUAGUCACUCAAGAUAAAAUAUAAAAGUACAGGCUCCAUUUUUUUGCCUUAGUUUGAAAAAUAUAGGGAAAUUCAAAAGCUAUUGGAAUUGCUAUCUCUUGAACAGUGACUAAAUGCAUUUAGAGUUUAGUCCCCACAGGCAGAAGAGUGUUGAUAACAGAACAGUGGCUGGUGCUGAGCUGUACUCACAGAGCAUGAAGGCUGUGUCUCCAACAUCCCUCCCCAGCAAAAGAGGGUGGGGGUGGAGUAGAGAGAGAAUGGGAAGGGACAUUGCUAGGACAGCUUGCCUAAACUGACCAAAGGGAUAUUCCAUAUCUGUGAAAUCUGCUGUCAGAUGUCAUACCUAUAACAUCUGCUCAGCAAUAAAAGCCACGAGAGGGGAAAAUGUUGUAAAGGUGUUUCUUCCAAACCAACCCUAAAGAUCCUCCCUUUUUCCUUAGCUUCUUUUCAAUCACAUCCAUUGUUCAUGCAUGAUUUUUUUUUCCUUAGAAUUAAAUUCAAUAGAAUUUGUUCAUUUUUUUCUCUAGAUUUUUCUGAAGAGUUUCUACUUCAAAACACAUCCAAGACACUUAUAAUAGAUUCAGCAAUAUUUAAAUAUCUGUCUUCUGAAAUCAGUCAAAACUUAGAAAUCUAAUUUGUCCUAAUGUGAUACUUUCAGCAGACUACCUUUACUUUGUGUCUUUCUUAGGCAAAGAUGCCUUGACUAAUUUCUGAUUGUUCAAAGGUUCUUCUCACAUUUAUUAUUUUGCUGUAGAAGACCAUUCAAAGAAAAAAAUAGCACAACUAAAUUCAAUGUUGCUGUAAUUUUCUUCCUUAAAAGGCAGUGUUUUGCCACUGGCCUUUGGAAUGUCUAACCAUCAACUAUUAUUAAAAGACCAGUCAAUUGUUUGAAAUUCAUUAUGAAAACAUUUUUUAGAUGGCAUUGUUAAUUGAAUUUAACAUUAGAUGUACUUCAGGGUGAGGUAAUUAAACUUUGCAUGCUAUUGACACUGGUUAGUCACAUGUAUACUUAAUUUUCUUUGAUAAUUUUUAGAACAAAAUAUAACAAUAUUUAAACAGUUCAACAUAUUUAAGACAAUCCCCAUUAUUCAUUUCAAAAAUUCUUUUUUCACUUGAAUAUAAACUCAAAAGGAUGGAAUUUAUGAUUUUAAAUUUGUUCUUUGUUAUGUUAAGGUAUUUAAAUGCAAACUAUCUAAUAACACUUGCUAUGGCGCUUGUGACCUAGAACUGUCUCUACAUUAAAAAACUAAAAGAAACAAGAUCAAAGAAAAUAAAAUUUG